UAGGGUUCCCACUAGCCUUAAAUGCCUAACCAUUUCUUUCUCUCUUUCUCUCUCUUUUUUUUCACCCUCUUCUCGUCCUUCAACUCUCUCUCUCUCUCUCUCUCUCUCAUGGCGAUGGCGAUUUUUCCCCCCAUCUCUGCUCUUUUUUGGUUCAGUCAUCGGCGCUCUCUAAUUCGCUUGGUGCAGGUCGGGAACUGUUUCGCUUUUUGUUCAUCAUGAUCUCUUGAUUGUUGUUCUCUCUUUCAAUUUCCUCUGCGUUGUUCAGGGGAAAUAUAUAUAUAUGUGUGUGUGUGUGUAAUCGAGCGAAUUGGAUCCCGCCUUGCAUCAACUGAAUCCGAGACAGCGAUGAAGAUUUCAUGGAUCUAGCAUCUUUUACCUGAUGCAGUUUUUUGAGUGGCUAAAUUCAAAAUUUAAGGAGCUCAGCAGAAGAAAUGGUGGAUAAUCUGAUGAAGGUCAGUCAGCUAUAUUUGGAGAUUUUUGAACUAAAUAUCUCUCUGUUGCUAUGCUAGAUAGUAAAGUGUUCUUUCUUCUUAAAUGUGGAUAAUUAGAAAUUAUGAUUUAUAAUGUACAUAGCUUUUAAUCGGUUUUAUUUUCAAAAGUAAAUAUAGUUGUAAGAUCAUAGUCUAUUGAUGUCUUUUUAAGAUCAAAAUUUACUAA